UGCGUAGGUGGCCUGACAAGUCAGGGGUCAAAGGCAACGGCUCAACCGUUGUAAGCCCUUGAAACUGUCGGGCUUGAGUUCAGGAGAGGAAAGCGGAGUUCCUAGUGUAGCGGUGAAAUGCGUAGAUAUUAGGAGGAACACCAGUGGCGAAGGCGGCUUUCUGGACUGAUACUGACACUGAGGCACGAAAGCGUGGGGAGCAAACA
rnacentral:rRNA from 1 species